CCCUUAGAUGUUCUGGGCUGCACGCGCGCUACACUGAAGCGUUCAACGAGUAUUUCACCUUGCCCGGGAGGGUUGGGUAAUCUUUUUAAAACGCUUCGUGAUGGGGAUAGAUUAUUGCAAUUAUUAAUCUUCAACGAGGAAUUCCUAGUAAACGCAAGUCAUCAGCUUGCAUUGAUUACGUCCCUGCCCUUUGUACACACCGCCCGUCGCUCCUACCGAUUGAAUGUUCCGAUGAAUACCAUGGACUGAGAGUAUGAAUGGGUUCGCCUAUUUCUGCUUCUCGGGAAGUGGAGUAAAUCUUAACAUUUAGAGGAAGGAGAAGUCGUAACA
rnacentral:rRNA from 1 species